CCUGUCCUGUAAACACCUUGGCUCCAACAGCAGCAGGUUUCCGUGUGCCCGUAGUGAAACGAGCGGGGUUCUGCAUGGAUUCACUUCCCUGCCCCUGCGCGAACGUUGGCUGGCUCAGGGCCAAACGCACACGCUUUAACGUGGCGUGCGUUAGUCGUGCCACUGAGCUCGAAUGGGGGAGGUGACCUCACGGAAUAGCUACAUCAGGAACGUACAGUACGGUGCACUAUUCUUAACGGCAGUUCCGCAGACACAGGCAGCACACAUGCAACCCGACGCAACCUGAAAGGCAGAGCCGGCGGAGCAGUGUAUGGCUAGUGACCUAUCUUCCUGAGGAGAAUGGCUGAGAUGUCUGUUUGGAAUUAUUCCUGGAAUUAGACCAGCAUGAGGUCUCCUCUACCAGUCUGAGGGGAAAUGGAGUUUAGAACUGACUCUCGAUACUUGAUGCACAUUUAGCAGGAGGCCAAGGUGAAUCAGCAUAAACAUCCGGAAGAAUAUGCCAAAUACAAGAAAAUGACAGCAACUUAACAUGAUUUAAUACCAAUAAAGUGGCUAAGGCUAGUGGAAACAAUCCUUGAUCUUUUCUUCUUCUAAUAAAUUAAAAACGAUUUUAUCAUACAUUACAGCUUCUGUAGCUCCUUCAACCUAGGGCUAUCUAUCACAGCCUGGAUGAAAACUGCUUUUUCUCCAUAUCAUGGCAGCCAAACUGUUGAGAAAAAUCUCAUGGCAAAUGACAGGGUGUAAUAAAGAUCUACACACUCAGUUCAAGAACUCAUUCCUGCCAUUUUCUACAAUUUCCUUUGUGUUCUUUUGUUGAAGCAACGGGUACGAGGUACCAGUGGUCUAACAUGCACUGUGAUGCCACCAUCCUACCAAUCCACACCUCCAAAGAUGUUCUGGGUCCCGGGAUGCAAAUCUUGACCUUCAGCCAUGACUAGCAGAAUUGGUGGUGCCGAGCAAUGCAAAUUGUCUUCCUACACCACCUAUGGAGAGACCCCUGCGGUACCCUGCCUCUUCCCUCCUCUCAUCACAUUUGGGUGUUUCAUGUUAAGGAGUCAUGACAGCUGAGCUUUGACCUCAUGUCUGACAUACAUUUCAUUGCCUGAGACCUUCCCUCUUCCACUGUUCAACCGUCUUGGACGCUCCUUUUCCAGCUCAGCAAAUCUCAGUUUUAUUAUGCAGAAUACAGAUGCUGUGGACUGAGGAGGUUUCCCACACUGGGGUAUCGGGUGGUUAAGCCACAUCCUGAGAGGAUGCAGAAAGGGAUAAAGCUCAGCAGUGAAGGUGAAGGUUGCCAGCACCUCACACGGUUUGCAGCAGCGCAGCCUUUCCAUGCUCCUGUGCUAUGGGGAACCAGGGACAGCGUGUUUUGUAGUGGGACAAUCUAUAAAGAAAUACAAACUGAGCCAUCUAACCAUCCAACUGACCAAGCCAUCUAGCUGAGACUGACUGGCUGAUACCAGGACAAACCCUGCACCAUCUCCCUGUUCUCUUCACUGGAGCUGUGUAAAGCUACUGAAAGUGUUAUCCAGUUUUGGGGCCGUGCAUUUAAUUUUCUUUAUCUGCUAAGGCAAAAUAGCACCAGAUGCUUAGGAUGGGAGAAACCUUCAGCUGUGUAAGGUGGGAAGGAAGAACAUUUUCCACUAAAAUCCUGCUAGUAGGGAAGUGGAACUCUUUGCUUCCAUAUCUUAAUGGGAAGUUAGAAAAAGAAAAUUAUAGGAGGACUAUCAAUGUGGUGUGAAAUGAUGGAAGAUCAAGAGAGAACAGGCCCUGAUUUCACUGUCACUAUCUGGAAUAGAGGAACGUUCCUCUUGCCCAUUUUUCCUGUGGGAUUAUGGGAUUGAUGGGUGUGAUGCACAAUGCUGGGCAGCCAGGAAAGACCAGCCCUGUGUUAGGAAGUCAGAACAGUCUUCGUGCGCUUCCCAGAAGAACCUAGCUUUAACUGGACUUGAAGGGAACUUCAGUUAUCCCCUUGAACCUCCAGUGGGCAGUACCACAUAAGUCAUUAAGAAGGUUCCACUAAUACUGAGGCAUCCCUGCUCCAUGGAGCAGCCUCCAGAGAAAAAACAUGCCCUGCAGGCUAUGCGGUGUGCUGCCUGCACUCCUGUUCACUGGGUGCCUACUGAUGAAGAGGUGCUAAGAAAACCCAAAUCGAUGUACUUGCUCUGCACUGAAACUUGCAAUGAUGUUCCACCAUCGCUGUGGAAGAGGCUAUUCGUUCUGCAAAAGCUACUAUAUCGUUUCAAGGAGACAUUUCCCACUGAUGAAAUAUAUUUGAAUUAAAUUAAUUUCUGAAUAAGAAAUCAACUGGAGAAUUUAAUGGAUGGCACCAAGGUAAAAGUUUGGCAUUCUGAAUUCUCUUCUCUUUCCUUU